rnacentral:rRNA from 1 species
GAUGAACGCUGGCGGCGUGCCUAAUACAUGCAAGUCGAGCGAAGGGGGGACGGGUGAGUAACACGUGGAGAAACUCCUAUAAGACUGGGAUAACUUCGGGAAACCGGAGCUAAACCGGGUACUUAUAGAUGGAGCCGCGCUGCAGUAGGUGGUUGGUAAGGUAACGGCUAACCAAGGCAACGAUGCAUAGCCGACCUGAGAGGGUGAUCAGCCACACUGGAACUGAGACACGGUCCAGACUCCUACGGGAGGCAGCAGUGGGGAAUCUUCCGCAAUGGGCGAAAGCCUGACGGAGCAACGCCGCGUGUGUGAUGAAGGUCUUCGGAUCGUAAAACUCUGUUAUUAGGGAAGCGGUACCUAAACAGAAAGCCCCGGCUAACUACGUGCCAGCAGCCGCGGUAAUAC